GGAGUUAUCACUCACCCUCAGUCAGGCCACCCAGAUUACCACAUGAGGAACACAGACGGCUUCUGUUUACACUGGGGGGGAGGAGAAACAUGGGAACUCUUGGCCUAUUAAGAAAUUGGCCUCUGUUGCCAGUACUAACAAGGCAUCGCUGCCUUUUGAAAUCGGGAUGUUCCCUGUGCCGUGCCUCCUCUGACCAAAGACCAGCUCUACGGUGUCACAACUUCCAGCUGAGCUCAGCAAAUAACUCUCGUAACACACCUCCAGCCCAUUGAAUCACCUAGACCUUGUCUUGACAAAGCCCUUGAGCCUGAAGCACCGCCUUUAAUAAUAAUAAAAAAAAAUGAAAAAUGAAGCAGGGGACCAAAAAAAAAAACCUAAAUUUCCUCGGGGUUGUCGUGUGAGCCGAAUGCGAAGAGGAUUCGGGAGCUGUUAAUGAUGGCUCGAACCUGCCUGCCCUUCCUGGUGCUCGGCCAGCCGGCAGGCCUGGCUCUGCCCCGGCGGCUUGGCGAUUCCUGCCCUGUCCGUGUGCGUGUGACCGGGGAGCUUGGCCUUGACGUAACAGCCAAAUGGCCGGGAAUGCGGCAGCGGAUACGGUGACAGGACUCCUCCGGUGACAGGAUUCCUCCGGUGACAGGGCUCCUCCACCUGCGUGCCUCCCAGCCAGCAGAUAAUUAAAGCAGCGCGGUCAAGGCGCAGGUAUUUUAAAGAGCCCCAACGUGCAACGCCCUCUUAGUAACACCUUAGUAAAACAACAAUAGCAUUUUAGCAACGU